AUGGGUGAAAUUGGGGUAUGUGAGAAAGUGCAUGAUGCCAGCCUGGGGUGGGGGCCAAGGCCUCCCCAUCACAGCUGCAGGUGGGCUGGGUGUUGGGAGGGGACAUCACAGGGAGGGUUUUUGUACGAGCCUAUCUCACAGGGUAAUGUAUUCGGCGGAGGGACCCAGCUGACUGUCCUAGAUCAGCCCAAGGCCUCGCCCUCAGUCACUCUGUUCCCGCCGUCUUCUGAAGAGCUCCAGGACAACAAGGCCACACUGGUGUGUCUCAUAAGUGACUUCUACCCGGGCACUGUGGUUGUGGCCUGGAAGGAAGACGGCAAAACCAUCACCCAGGGAGUGCAGACCACCAAGCCCUCCAAACAGAGCAACAACAAGUAUGCUGCCAGCAGCUACUUGACCCUGACGCCUGCCCAGUGGAAGUCUCAUAACAGCUACAGCUGCCAGGUCACGCAUGAGGGGAGCACUGUGGAGAAGAAGGUGGCCCCUGCAGAGUGUGCUUAGGGCCCUGAACUCCCCUACCCAGGAGGGCCCAGAGGGGCUGGACUCUGGGUAGGGGUUCUCCCAUCCACACUCCCCUUCUCCAUCUUCCACUGUGUCCCUAAACCCAUGCCCUGCAUCAGCUUAGACUUGAUGGACCCCACAACCUCCCUAUGUCCAGUUCUCAAUAAAUAUCUGAUGUUAUCAACGGAUGCGUACACUGCUUGCUUGUGUCUGGUCG